rnacentral:tRNA from 1 species
GGGGUCGUAGCUCAGUUGGAAGAGCGCCUCGUUCGCAACGAGGAGGUCGUCAGUUCGAACCUGAUCGGCUCCACCA